rnacentral:sRNA from 1 species
GAUUUUUGAGUUUUUUUUUACCCAUUUUAGAAUUGAUCCUUCUUCUUCUGAA